UGGCGGCGUGCCUAAUACAUGCAAGUCGAACGAAACUUCUUUAUCACCGAGUGCUUGCACUCACCGAUAAAGAGUUGAGUGGCGAACGGGUGAGUAACACGUGGGCAACCUGCCCAAAAGAGGGGGAUAACACUUGGAAACAGGUGCUAAUACCGCAUAACCAUAGUUACCGCAUGGUAACUAUGUAAAAGGUGGCUAUGCUACCGCUUUUGGAUGGGCCCGCGGCGCAUUAGCUAGUUGGUGAGGUAAAGGCUUACCAAGGCAAUGAUGCGUAGCCGAACUGAGAGGUUGAUCGGCCACAUUGGGACUGAGACACGGCCCAAACUCCUACGGGAGGCAGCAGUAGGGAAUCUUCCACAAUGGGCGAAAGCCUGAUGGAGCAACGCCGCGUGGGUGAAGAAGGUCUUCGGAUCGUAAAACCCUGUUGUUAGAGAAGAAAGUGCGUGAGAGUAACUGUUCACGUUUCGACGGUAUCUAACCAGAAAGCCACGGCUAACUACGUGCCAGCAGCCGCGGUAAUACGUAGGUGGCAAGCGUUAUCCGGAUUUAUUGGGCGUAAAGGGAACGCAGGCGGUCUUUUAAGUCUGAUGUGAAAGCCUUCGGCUUACACCGGAGUAGUGCAUUGGAAACUGGGAGACUUGAGUGCAGAAGAGGAGAGUGGAACUCCAUGUGUAGCGGUGAAAUGCGUAGAUAUAUGGAAGAACACCAGUGGCGAAAGCGGCUCUCUGGUCUGUAACUGACGCUGAGGUUCGAAAGCGUGGGUAGCAAACAGGAUUAGAUACCCUGGUAGUCCACGCCGUAAACGAUGAAUGCUAAGUGUUGGAGGGUUUCCGCCCUUCAGUGCUGCAGCUAACGCAAUAAGCAUUCCGCCUGGGGAGUACGACCGCAAGGUUGAAACUCAAAGGAAUUGACGGGGGCCCGCACAAGCGGUGGAGCAUGUGGUUUAAUUCGAAGCAACGCGAAGAACCUUACCAGGUCUUGACAUCUUCUGACAAUCCUAGAGAUAGGACUUUCCCUUCGGGGACAGAAUGACAGGUGGUGCAUGGUUGUCGUCAGCUCGUGUCGUGAGAUGUUGGGUUAAGUCCCGCAACGAGCGCAACCCUUAUUGUUAGUUGCCAGCAUUAAGUUGGGCACUCUAGCAAGACUGCCGGUGACAAACCGGAGGAAGGUGGGGAUGACGUCAAAUCAUCAUGCCCCUUAUGACCUGGGCUACACACGUGCUACAAUGGACGGUACAACGAGUCGCAAGACCGCGAGGUUUAGCAAAUCUCUUAAAGCCGUUCUCAGUUCGGAUUGUAGGCUGCAACUCGCCUACAUGAAGUCGGAAUCGCUAGUAAUCGCGGAUCAGCAUGCCGCGGUGAAUACGUUCCCGGGCCUUGUACACACCGCCCGUCACACCAUGAGAGUUUGUAACACCCAAAGCCGGUGGGGUAACCUUUUGGAGCCAGCCGUCUAAGGUGGGACAGAUGAUUGGGGUGAAGUCGUAAC
rnacentral:rRNA from 1 species